UUGGAGGGCAAGUCUGGUGCCAGCAGCCGCGGUAAUUCCAGCUCCAAUAGCGUAUAUUAAAGUUGUUGCAGUUAAAAAGCUCGUAGUUGAAUUUCGGGGUUAGCAGGUUGGUCGUGCCACUGGUAUGAACUGGCCUUGCUGAUUCCUCCCUCUUGAUGAGCCGUAAUGCCAUUAAUUUGGUGUUGCGAGGAAUCAGGACUGUUACUCUGAAAAAAUUAGAGUGUUUAAAGCAGGCAAGCGCUUGAAUACAUUAGCAUGGAAUAAUGAAAUAGGACGUUUGAUCUUAUUUUGUUGGAUUCUAAGAUUGACGUAAUGAUUAAUAGGGAUAGUUGGGGGCAUUAGUAUUCAAUUGUCAGAGGUGAAAUUUUUGGAUUUAUUGAAGACUAACUACUGCGAAAGCAUUUGCCAAGGAUGUUUUCAUUAAUCAAGAACGAAAGUUAGGGGAUCGAAGACGAUCGGAUACCGUCGUAGUCUUAACCAUAAACUAUGCCGACUAGGGAUCGGAUGAUGUUAAUUUUUUAAUGACUCAUUCGGCGCCUUACGGGAAAC
rnacentral:rRNA from 1 species